AGGGGCGAAGGAGGCGCACCCCCAGGGCUGGGAUGGGUGCGUCCAGCCGCAGCGGGACUCGAUGCUGUUUGGGUUCACGGGAACUCUAGGCAAACGCAGCAAUCAAACUUCAUUAGCCCACUGGCUCAUGGAGUUUUUAUGUGACUUCGUGAGGGUCCAUCUGUAACUCCGUAUUUUUAUUCAAAGUUUCCCCCUUAUAUCGAACAGUGAAAUGUAUCUAGAACAUGUUCUGAAUGCUAUAUGAAAUCUGGCCUGGUUUUAUAUUUAUUUGUUUGUUUUAACCAACAAAGGAAGCUGCGUUAAAAAUAAGAUGAUCAGAAAACCUCCUGGUUCUCAGCGCGGUGCGCGUUCCCUGCCCGCCUCUGCAGCCCUCAGUCCCGCCGGCGCGGCUGCGCACGGCCCUCGCCGCGGCCCCACGGAUCCACGUGUUUGCAGACAUUGCCCCUCUACCAGGAACACCCUUCCUCCAUUCCCUUCAUCAUGAGAGAAGUCCCGAGUCGUCAUUCAGAGAUGCUGUCCUCUGACUUCACUUUUGGGAACCCUCUGGGCUGACUUUCCACCUCUGCUAAGACGCGCGUCUCCUUAGCCGGCGCCCUGCGGACACUUCAUGCUUAUCUGGACCGUGAUGUAGAUCACACUCUGUUGAAUUCUUCAUCUGCCUUCUCUAUACUCUCUGAAGGCUGAACGGGCAACUCCUCUGUCAGGCGGGAAGGACCUCUGCGUGCGCGGGCAGCCUCCCCACGAGCCGCCCACCACGCUGUGCGCGGGGAGCAGAGAAUCGAUGUCGCCAGACUGAGUGAAAAUGUUUUAGGAAAAUAACAGCACUAGGAUAGUCACUCUCAGAACAGCCUUCCUAUGAACUCACGUCUGCGCAGCGCCCUGUGGCUCGCAAAGGCUUCACACGUCUGCAAUCGUCAGACUAGGAAGGAUAAGCUAGACACCUAGACAGAACAUGAGGUAAACAUGAAGUAGCAUCACUAUAAACACAGCCCAGCACCAACAAAACUCGAGGCACAACCACCGCGCGUUGGGUCCCCUGUGCCAGGCUCGGGCGUGAAGAGAGAAAGAUAACGUAUCUCUGCAGCUUAGAGUCUCUGAAAGCAGCGUGAGGUGAAGACAUUGUGUAAACAGACCCAUUUUGCUGGCUAGAGUUGCGAGGCCAAAGACGACGUGAGGCUGGAGUUGGGAGACGGGCAAAGGCCCGCCAGGCCACAGCACGUGUGUUGGAGAGCUGCUUUCAGGACUGUGGAACAACACCCAACGCGCGUCACAGCACGCGUGAACUCACCACAACCCUUCCUUUCUAACAAUCCCAAGUGAGAACCAAAUCAUUCUCAUGUGACAUGCCCCCGAAACCUUUGGCAAAGUUGCAGCUAAACCUAGAUCUACCAAAAGGUUUUAUUUGCUGUAAUCAGAAACACAGAGAGCAAAUGUAAAGCAUUUCUCGGGAGUAAGAUACUUUAUUAGAACACUGAUAAAGAGAGAAAUCCUGCAUUGAAGUCAUGACGUGGCCACUGAAGAUUUAAGUGAAUGUCACCUGUCUGCAGUGUCCUCCCUUCCCUGCCCUCCUCCCGCACCCCAGCCCCAGGAGUAGGGCUCCCAGCCUCGCUCCCACUGAACUUCUUUCCCGGAGCCUUAAUCACAUUUCACUGUAGCUGUUUAGAAAUUUCCUAAGGACAACUAAGGUGUUUCGCUAUGUCUGUUUUUAAGUGUGUGACACAGUUUUUGGUGCACAGAAGACGAUUAGGAAUUCUGAACUGUAAAGAUAAUUUAAUCUAAGGAUUAAGAGAAUAUAGUCCAUAUUUGUUAAUGUGAUACUCUAAACAGCAUUUUUUUUAAAAAGCAAGAGUUCUUUAGAAAUGUGUAGCUGAUCAUGUUCAUUGAAGUAAAAGAACUGAGAAUUUAUUCAGAAUUGUCCACAUUGCAAAACGUUGGUUUUACAAUUUCUAUGACCU